rnacentral:lncRNA from 1 species
AGACCCACAGAGUGCAGUGCCUGAGACCAGCUCCUUCUGGCAGUUUGCCUCCGGAAGGGACGCUUCAAUCCCCUCUAGCCCCCUUUCGCCCUGCCUUUUGUGACCAGCAAACUGUACCAAAGAGGUGAUUAGAUGGUGGCCCUCACCGAGAACUGCCUUGGCGCAGCCAUGCUGGUCUCCUGACAAAGUCACCCACAGCCAAAGUCUCUGCAGAUCCCUAACUGCACCUUGUUCAGUGUAUUCUUUCUAUCUCUGGAGGCAUUGAACUUCACGCCUUACUAGAGGCUGCAGAAUCUUCUACAUUCUUCAGCUUUGGAGGCCCAGGGUGAACAUGCCAUGGAGUGAGUAGUCACCCCAGAGAUUUCCUGCCUUGAUUCCAGAAGAACCUGGUAGAUCAGUUGAGGUCAAGCUCACUGACAUCCUCCUGUGCCUCAUCUACUAGGAUUACAGGGAUCUGUGUUAUUUAAAGAUGCGUGGCUGUGGAUUUCACCCAACAGGAGUGGCACAGAUUGGACCCUACCCAGAGGAAUAUGCACAAGGAUGUGAUGCUGGAGACCUACAGUCACUGGGUCUCUGCGUGGCCAAACCAGACAUGAUCUUCAAGUUGGAGUGGGGAGAAGAACUGUGUCUAUUAGAAGAGGAAUCCUCAGGUAUGUACAGCCCAAGUUGGCCUGAAACUCAUGAACCUCCUACUUCAG